rnacentral:pre_miRNA from 1 species
UUGCCUGCUGGUUGCUGGUGCUCUGACGAGGUUGCACUACUGUGCUCUGAGAAGCAGUGCAAUGAUAUUGUCAAAGCAUCUGGGACCAGCCUUG